rnacentral:rRNA from 1 species
UUAGGAAUAUUGGGCAAUGGAGGAAACUCUGACCCAGCAACGCCGCGUGAAGGAUGAAGGUUUUCGGAUUGUAAACUUCUGUUCUAUGGGAAAAACACAAUGAUGGUACCAUAGGAGAAAGCUACGGCUAACUACGUGCCAGCAGCCGCGGUAAUACGUAGGUAGCAAGCAUUGUCCGGAAUAACUGGGCGUAAAGGGAGCGUAGGUGGUUUUUUAAGUGAAAUGUGAAAGCCCGGGGCUCAACUCCGGAAUGUCAUUUCAUACUGGAAAACUAGAGUACAGGAGGGGUAAGCGGAAUUCCUAGUGUAGCGGUGGAAUGCGUAGAUAUUAGGAAGAACACCAGAGGCGAAGGCGGCUUACUGGACUGUUACUGACACUGAGGCUCGAAAGCGUGGGGAGCAAACAGG